AAUAAUAAUUAAAGCUGCAAGCAGCGAUGAACGGGCCCUCGCACCCGGGCUCACCGGCAGUGAGUGGCUUUAGUUAAUAGGUGAACGGUGAGAAAUAUGCGUUUAAACUCAUAAAUAUAAGUAGAAUAUAUCAAUGUUUAUUCCAUAUAUGUGCCAAUCUUCCUGUUGCCAGCAGGUGGCGCUAUCAUUAUAAUGGAAUAUUGGCCUUCAGAUGUGUUCAGGGCAGGAGUUUUAUCGAACAUGUGAGGUUUGGGGAGGAUUGGACAUUUUAUGCCUGAGUUACAACAACAUCCUAUUUCAUGGCGAAACAUCGAAAUUUGUCAGGCCGCCAUGGACACGCCCUUUAACGAAACCUCAAGAUCUUCGCAAUUUAUUAUCGCAAAGGGCUUUAGAUUACACUGACCAAGUUUGGUGUUGAUCUGAAUAAAUCUCUAGGAGGAGUUCGUUAAAGUACAACCCCUGAAAAUGGCAAAAACAACACCAAUUUUGAAGGGAAAAUUCAAAAUAACUGACUUCCUGUUGGGAUCCGGAUUUCGUACCAAGAGACUUUUUUGUAGGUAUUGGAGUGUUACAUGUGUGUACCAAUUUUUGUACAUGUACGUGAAACAUAGCUCGAGGCGCACUCCGUUGAAAGUGUAUAGGUGGCGCUAUAGAGCCAUUCUGCCACACCCGGUGGAAUAUUGGCCUGCAGAUCUGUUCAGGCCAGGACUCUUAUCACACAUGUGAAGUUUGGGGAAGAUCGGAAAUUUUAUGCCUGAGUUAUAACAUCUUUUAUUCCCAUGGCGAGACAUCGAACUUCGUCGCGGCGCCAUGAACAAGCCUUUUAACGAAAACUCAAGAUCUUCACAACUGAACAUCGCACAGGCCUUUAGAUUAGACUGACCACAAAAAAGACAUUGAUGUCAUAAAAUUUCUAGGAGUAGUUCGUCGCAGCGUAAAAUAUGUCACUUCCUGUUGCCAAUAGGUGGCGCUAUGACUAUAACUGAAUAUGGGCAUGUCAAUCUGUUCAGGUUCGGAGUCUCAUCAAACAUGUGAAGUUUGGGGCAGAUUGGACAUUGUAUGUGUGAGUUAAAGCAACUUCAUUUUUCAUGGCGAAUCAUCGAAAUUCGCCAGGCCGCCACGAACACGCCCUUCAACGAAAACUCAAGAUCUUCGCAAUUUAACAUCGCAAAGGCCUUUAGAUUAGGCAUACCAAAUUUGGUGUUGAUUUGAAGAACUCUCUAGGAGGAGUUCGUUAAAAUACAACACAUGGAAAUGACCAACAUUACACAAAAUAUGCUCAUAAUAUUAAAAAUAACCGACUUCCUGUUGGGUUUAGAAUUUCGCUCCAAGAGUCUUUUUUGUAGGUAUUGGUGUGUUACAUAUGUGUGCCAAUUUUCAUGCAUGUACGUGAAACAUAGCUGGAAGGCUGUUGAUUUUCUUGGUAUAGGUGGCGCUGUCGAGCCAUUUUGCCACACCCUCUUCUGAAUCCUAUAUCAGACGAAAAUUUUCACCAGGUUUGACGCGUGUGCAAAGUUUCAUGACUUUUUGAGCAUGUUAAAGCCCUCAAAAAUGCGAUUCAUUCGGGAGAAGAAGAAGAAGAAGAAUAAUUAAAGCUGCAAGCAGCGAUGAACGGGCCCUCGCACCCGGGCUCACCGCCAUCGUGUGGCUUUAGUAAAAAGGUGAACGUUGAGAAAUAUGCAUUUAAACUCAUAAAUAUAAGUGCAAUAUAUCAAAGUUUAUUCCAUAUGUGUGCCAAUCUUCCUGUUGCCAGCAGGUGGCGC